GGGGGGGGGGGGGGGGGGGGGGGGGGGGGGGGGGGCGGGCGGGGGCGGGGGAGGGGCUUGCUCUGGCGGGUGGCGCGUGGCGGACGGGUGCGGAAUACAUCGGAAUCUACUUUUGCGUGGGGGCUGGCGUCGGGACACUUCCCCGAAUACCGCUUACGACCUCCGGGUGACAGCAGGGGAUUUUCGGCCCUUGCGCUAUUGACUGCGCCGAUGUCGGAUUAGCGAGUUGGCGGGUUAAAGGCCCACCAGGGCGACGAUCCGUAGCUGGUCUGCGAGGAUGAUCAGCGACACUGGAACUGAGACACGGUCCAGACUCCUACGGGAGGCAGCAGUGAGGAAUAUUGGACAAUGGGCGCAAGACUGAUCCAGCCAUACGGCGUGGGUGAAGAAGGCCUUCGGGUUGUAAAGACCUUUUGUUGGGAAAGAAAAGCAGCAGGUGAAGACCCCGCUGUUCUGACGGUACCAAAAGAAUAAGCACCGGCUAACUUCGUG
rnacentral:rRNA from 1 species